rnacentral:snoRNA from 1 species
GCAUGGGUUUGGAUUUAUGGCAGGCCUGCCCCUGGGUCUCUCACAGUGCCCCAUGCCAGAGCAAACUACACUCCCAAACCACUGCCUGGCCUCUGUGUCCACAGGCUGCUGGCACUGAAGUUGGCUGCACAGUG